UCAGUGUUGGGAGAAAGGGUCAUAAUACAUUAUGUCUUCCCAGAAUCUCAACGGGAAAACAACUUCCAUGUUUUCAGGUACCACAGAAGGCUUAUUCCAGUUUAAUGAGCAGUAUAAACCAGGAGAAUAGAAAACUUUAGUUAGCGGUACCAACCAAGAAAGACAUAGGGACAACAGGAAAGAUGUCACCGAGAUCUUUGGUAGGCCUUAAAAUAACUCACAUUUUUACAGGUAAGAAAAACUUUGAGGACCAAGAAGACGGUGUGCCAGAAAGCAGAAGCAUGGAGGAGCUGCAGGUAUUUCAGCAUCAGCCACACACUGGGUGUCUGCCAACCUCAAAGGAUGCUCUUUUCACUCUCAGAUCAAAAACCAAAUGAGUAACUCAGGAAGAUUAUGUUAGCUGGUGUUUGGACAGUUUACCUCUCGUUGGACAGUAGUGAGAGAUGGGAAUCCAAAGAAUCAUCAAAACUUAUCAACUGACUAUAGAGAGAAAACAGGUAACAAAGAUGACUUAAACUUCAAAGGCUUUUUUUUCCUGGAAACUUCCUAUUUUGUGGAGGAAGGAAAUGGUAGACUGUCAAAUGUGGCUUUAGUAGUGGUCACAGAAUUCAGAGCAGGGAAAGAGCUAAGCUGUGGCAAUAAAGGCAGAGGAGCUUGAGCAGAGACUUGGAAGUGGGAACAUGCAACACAGUCCUCAGAUUUAUUAGUGCUCAUUUGCUGGACAAAGCAGACAGCUCCCAAGUACCUUUUUACCAGACAUGUUAAAAGUCCCAACUGUUACUGAGAAGAAAAGGCAAAACAGCUUCAUACACAGAAUGCCUAGAAAAUAAUGGCCAACUAGUUUAAAGCUAUACAUGCCUACAUUUGCAUAUAUGAAAGCAAUCACCAAAUAAUGGGGUAAUACAGAGCCCCAACUGGCCAUGUCUUGUCACCAAAUGAAGCUUCUUUUGGAAGUUCUAGGACUAGGUUACAUCUAAUUGAGUUGUUGGCCAAAAGGGUCCAAAGGGAAUCCCCAAAAAACCCAGGCUGCCGUCAAGACUAUAGGCUGCUCUCCACAAACUGACAACAAGGCCCCAUUGCUGAAGACAACACCUACACAACUUAGUGAACAGAAAUGGAGCUGGUGCCUACAAAGGGCCUUCACCCCAUGUUCUAGCAUCUUUGGUACAGGAAGGUACUCUGCACUCUACCAAAAGAGAAAGGUAGACAGCAACCCAACCACAACCCUUUGAAAGGACAAUGGUGUCCUUGCAAGCUAUGCUAGUGCAGUGGUGGCACCAAGCCUGUGGGAGUGACCAGACAGUAUCUGACUUGACUGAAAGCCACUCCACGAGAUGGAACCUGUGCUAGAUACUGCUUGGGUGACCAAGACCCUGAGACAACGUGGCCCAGGGACCUAGGGUAAAACCAAAUAUUAUUGCUCUAAAGAAAGAAAGAAAGAAAACAUAUAACAAUAAAAUGACUCCUAAUGACUUCCCAUACUCAUAGAUCAGUGCCUUGCUCAGCCAUCAUCAGAGAAGCUUCCUCCUGCAGCAGAUGGGAACAAACACAGAGAUCCACAGCCAAAGAUUAUGCAGAGAACCAGAGACCUUGGAACACUCAAUUCUAAAUGAGAUGUCUCUAUCAAAUUGCUCCCCGAUGUCAGGGAAUCCUACAAAAGAAGAGGCAGAAAAAGUAUAGGAGCCAGAGGAGGACCGGGUUUCUGUGACUCCGACUUGGAAAUGAAACUCUGCAUUGGCUACCGGUAUUGUCGGCUGGAGGAAGGCUAGAGCAAAGAACAGCUGGCUCAAAGAAAACUUCAGCUCCCCAAUUUGUAACCACAGAAGUGCUGUCUUUGUCUUUCUGAAGUACGACCACUGAGGUGGAGGGACAUUUCUCUGAUGAGGGCUUGGUGCUUAGCAUGCACAAGUCCUGUGUGUCAUUCCCAUCACCAUGGCAAUGGGAAGAAAAGGAUAAAUGGCCAUUGGAAAAUUACUAUCUUUCAUUACUCAGCAUCUUAAAUUCAAAUGGCUAGUGAUCUGGAAAACAGAUCAUAAAAAAACUUCUGGAAAUCACAGGGGGUGGGGGUGGCUGCUUAAGAAAGUCACAAGAUUGUUCUGGAAAAUGGAAAGUAGAAUAUAAAGUAUAAUGUAGAGCUAUGGCAA